CGCAAUGAUUUAAUUUAUGCAUUGUCGCUGCGAAUGAAGGCUUAAGACCUUAUAUAUAUCAUACAUGUACAUUGGCUGUUGUGCAAUGAUUAAGUGAACGCGAUUUUGUUGCCCGUCAAAACGUACGCGAAAUGCUAAUUGACAACCUGCCUGAAGACACGAAAAAAAUUGUGCAAUUUUCGGCCACCUUUACCUUCCAAUGCAGAGAAUGAGCGGAUAAUACGUGAAUCUUUGUUUUUCAAUUUUCCUUCAAUCAAUAUUUAUUUAAAACCAUCGAUUUUAUCAGUGGCAACGCUGAAUACGUCGGGCAAUUCUUAACCUCUCGUUCCAACGUCCAUCGAGCAGCAGAAAGGAAUAGACAAUAGGAGGACAAUGAAAAACGUGAGGAGAGGCACUUCAUCGAUUCUCGAUGUCAAUGGGGGCAAA